rnacentral:rRNA from 1 species
GUAGGGAAUAUUGGUCAAUGGACGAAAGUCUGAACCAGCCAUUCCGCGUGCAGGAAGAAGAUUCUAUGGAUUGUAAACUGCUUUUAGCAGAGAAGAAACGCCUUCAUUGAUGAGGGUUUGACGGUAUCUGCGGAAUAAGCACCGGCUAACUCCGUGCCAGCAGCCGCGGUAAUACGGGGGGUGCAAGCGUUAUCCGGAAUCACUGGGUUUAAAGGGUGCGUAGGCGGGAAAUUAAGUCAGUGGUGAAAGUCUGUUGCUUAACGAUAGAAUUGCCGUUGAUACUGAUGUUCUUGAAUUGGGUUGAGGUUAGCGGAAUGUGACAUGUAGCGGUGAAAUGCAUAGAUAUGUCAUGGAACACCAAUUGCGAAGGCAGCUAGCUGGGCCUUGAUUGACGCUGAGGCACGAAAGCGUGGGUAGCGAACAGGAUUAGAUACCCCGGUAGUCC